rnacentral:ncRNA from 1 species
UAGUUAUCAAGAAAGGUGGAGGGAAUAGACCCUUUGAAGCCUUAGCAACCCUUUGUCCGAUCAAAUUGUCCGGGCGGAGAAGGUGCUACGUUCUAUCCCAAUGGCAUAUUGGGGCAGAUAACGC